AAAUUGAAGAGUUUGAUCAUGGCUCAGAUUGAACGCUGGCGGCAGGCCUAACACAUGCAAGUCGAACGGUAACAGGAAGCAGCUUGCUGCUUCGCUGACGAGUGGCGGACGGGUGAGUAAUGUCUGGGAAGCUGCCUGAUGGAGGGGGAUAACUACUGGAAACGGUGGCUAAUACCGCAUAACGUCGCAAGACCAAAGAGGGGGACCUUCGGGCCUCUUGCCAUCAGAUGUGCCCAGAUGGGAUUAGCUA
rnacentral:rRNA from 1 species